AACGAACGCUGGCGGCAGGCUUAACACAUGCAAGUCGAGCGCCCCGCAAGGGGAGCGGCAGACGGGUGAGUAACGCGUGGGAACGUACCUUUUGGUUCGGAACAACUCCGGGAAACUGGAGCUAAUACCGGAUAAGCCCUAACGGGGAAAGAUUUAUCGCCGAAAGAUCGGCCCGCGUCUGAUUAGCUAGUUGGUGAGGUAACGGCUCACCAAGGCGACGAUCAGUAGCUGGUCUGAGAGGAUGAUCAGCCACACUGGGACUGAGACACGGCCCAGACUCCUACGGGAGGCAGCAGUGGGGAAUAUUGGACAAUGGGCGCAAGCCUGAUCCAGCCAUGCCGCGUGAGUGAUGAAGGCCUUAGGGUUGUAAAGCUCUUUUGUCCGGGAAGAUAAUGACUGUACCGGAAGAAUAAGCCCCGGCUAACUUCGU
rnacentral:rRNA from 1 species